UUGGUCAAAUCCGACUUUUGGCUGAUCCUACGAGCUACGACAGUUAUACCUACAAAUAUUUAGCGUUUCGUGCUGCAAUUAGUAGUUGAUAUUCUAGGAUGUUAUGCCUAAAAUUGGAAUUCAGCUAUCAGAGAUUAGCAACAUUCAAACGGAAACUGUAGAUGGCGUUGAUGUGCGUCUAUGAUGAAGAUUUUGAGUGACAAGUUAAAUGGGUGUUUGUUACGUUACCCUAUUAUGUGUUUCAAAGGAUUUUUCGUCAAAAAUUUACGAUUGCUUUUUGUAUGUGGUGGUGUUGCGCCUUGUCAGCUACGCCAGCUGCUGAACCAGUAACCUGCAUUCCUGCUAUCAAUGUACCACAAAAGAUCCUGACACUUUAAGAAGGCAACUAUUGCUUACAUGAAGAUCACCAUCCAGUUCAAGCACUAUUAAUGGACCUCAAGCCUUUCGUUUAAGCUUAGUGAUGUGUUCUCUCAUCAAUCAACGACAGAGUCUUCAUCUACUUUGUGUUGCUAACCAUCAGCCCUCAGCAUCCCAGGUAUCCAGAUUUCCAAGUUUCUCUGAUUAGCCAACCAUCAUCCAUACCCUUCAGCUCUUCAUUGUGGCUUCUCUUCCUCUUAUCUUAGUCUGCUGAAUGCCAACAUUGAAUAAUGUUCAUCAUCAUUGCCUUUCCAUGAAAAUUUUCAUUAUUAAUCCUGCUGUUCUUCUCACCGUUACUUAGCCAUCUCACAUGGAUAGGCUUUAACAACAUCUCCAUUUUUUGGACUUCAAAUAUUCAUUUUCCUUCGGUACAACACUGCCGUUUUGACAAUUUCGGUAGUUUCGCUCCCAGUUGACCACACGCAACUACAUUUUCUUCGUCUUCCUGUCGUUGUUGUCUACGACUUCACCUCAUCGCUGUCUUCGUUGACAUCUUCGCCUUUAUCUCCGUCUCAUCGUCUUGGUCGUCUUCGCCUUCA